GGAUUAGAUACCCUGGUAGUCCACGCCGUAAACGAUGAGCACUAGGCGUUUGUCUUUUCGGGAUGGCCGUUGUAGAGAAAUUACUAAGUGCUCCGCCUGGGGAGUACGUUCGCAAGGAUGAAACUCAAAGAAAUUGACGGGGGCUCACACAAGCGGUGGAGGAUGUGGUUUAAUUCGAAGCAACGCGAAGAACCUUACCAGGCCUUGACAUACUAGGAUUAAUUUUGUGAAAGCAGAAGGAUUGCCCCUUGGGGUGUAACUAGUACAGGUGCUGCAUGGCUGUCGUCAGCUCGUGCUG
rnacentral:rRNA from 1 species